UUUUUUUUUUCUUGAAUUUGGGAAUCUGUUGUUAGCCUUUCUGAGUUGACAUAUUAUGUGCGCAAGGUGCCUGAUGGAUGUUUGUGAACAUGUGGGAUGAUUUUCUAGUAUAUUUCUUAGCAAAAUUUUGUAGUCUUUUGCUCUGAAGUUUUUGGAAUUAUUGUGUUGGAUUAGGCAUCAUUUAUGAAGAGUGCUAUCAAAAGUAUAUUUUUGUUGCAUGCUUGCAAAUUAUGAAAAAUAAAUAAUAUUGCAUGUUAUUGAAGUUUAGCAAGCAG
rnacentral:misc_RNA from 1 species